UUUAGUGGCGAACGGGUGAGUAAUACAUAAGUAAUUUACCUCUAAGGACUGGGAUAACCAUUGGAAACGAUGGCUAAUACCGGAUAGGUAAUUGGAAGGCAUCUUCCGAUUAUUAAAGGUUUAAAACACCAAGAGAUAAGCUUAUGGCGCAUUAGCUAGUUGGUAGGGUAAGGGCCUACCAAGGCAUCGAUGCGUAGCCGACCUGAGAGGGUGACCGGCCACACUGGGACUGAGACACGGCCCAGACUCCUACGGGAGGCAGCAGUAGGGAAUUUUCGGCAAUGGAGGCAACUCUGACCGAGCAACGCCGCGUGAGUGAUGAAGGUCUUUGGAUCGUAAAGCUCUGUUGUAGAGGAAGAAUUCUUAGGAGAAAAUCUUAAGUUGACGGUACUCUACCAGAAAGCCACGGCUAACUACGUGCCAGCAGCCGCGGUAAUACGUAGGUGGCAAGCGUUAUCCGGAAUUAUUGGGCGUAAAGGGUUCGCAGGCGGCUAAACAAGUUUGUGGUUAAAGCCCGGAGCUUAACUCCGGUGUGCCAUGAAAACUAUUUAGCUAGAGUACAGGAGAGGGCAAUGGAAUUCCAUGUGUAGCGGUAAAAUGCGUAGAUAUAUGGAGGAACACCAGUGGCGAAAGCGGUUGCCUGGCCUGUAACUGACGCUCAGGAACGAAAGCGUGGGGAGCAAAUAGGAUUAGAUACCCUAGUAGUCCACGCUGUAAACGAUGAAUACUAAGUGUUGGGGAAACUCAGUGCUGCAGCUAACGCAUUAAGUAUUCCGCCUGGGGAGUAUGCACGCAAGUGUGAAACUCAAAGGAAUUGACGGGGGCCCGCACAAGCGGUGGAGUAUGUUGUUUAAUUCGAAGCAACGCGAAGAACCUUACCAAGUCUUGACAUACCGGACAAUACUAUAGAAAUAUAGUGGAGGUUGAAGGAUACAGGUGGUGCAUGGUUGUCGUCAGCUCGUGUCGUGAGAUGUUGGGUUAAGUCCCGCAACGAGCGCAACCCUUGUCUUCUGUUACCAUCAUUCAGUUGGGGACUCAGGAGAUACUGCCGGUGACAAAUCGGAGGAAGGUGGGGAUGAGGUCAAAUCAUCAUGCCCCUUAUGACUAUGGGCUACAAACGUACUACAAUGGCGUAUACAAAGAGCAGCCAGCUGGCGACAGUGAGCGAAUCUCAUAAAGUACGUCUCAGUUCGGAUUGAAGUCUGCAACUCGACUUCAUGAAGUCGGAAUCGCUAGUAAUCGCGAAUCAGCAUGUCGCGGUGAAUACGUUCUCGGGCCUUGUACACACCGCCCGUCAAACCAUGAGAGUUGGUAAUGCCCGAAGCCGGUGGCCUAACCUUUAUAGGAGGGAGCCGUGUAAGGUAGAAC
rnacentral:rRNA from 1 species